GGGGCUGUUCUGGAUUCGACAGGAUAGUGCGAGUUUGAUAAGCAUGCAAUCGGCAGAUUUCAAAAUGCGCGGUUAAACAUAACCGGAAACCAAAAUUACGCUUUCGCUGCUUAAGAAGAAGUAGCGGGUUUCUCUUGGCCAGCCUGCGGGCCUAGACAAACCCCACUCAGCAGGAUAGUAUUGCACUCUGCCACCUUAAGAGUGUCGUGCGAAAAUAAUAGGGUUAGUCUAUUGAUGGCGAGUUAACUGGCUGUUUUUAGAUGAAACAAUUCAGUGAACUAAGCAUGUAGAAAGUCAAAUGAUUGGCUGUUUUGGACGGGGGUUCAAAUCCCCCCAGCUCCACCA
rnacentral:tmRNA from 1 species